rnacentral:lncRNA from 1 species
UGAUGUCCCCAACAGGUAGAAUGCUCCUUUUCUCAGUUGAAAACUGCAUAUGGACAUCACAAGUUAGUUUAUCGAUUAUCUCAAGAUAAAGAACAUUACCUGUACAGCUCAAUUGAUGCUCUUCCUAGAUAAACAACUCUCACAUUAGGCCUCGUUCGUUUUCACCGGAUUGGCCCGGAAUGAGGUCCAUUCCGGAUGGUUUGAAGUGACCCGGUUUGAAACCAGACUUGCAUUGAAAGUGUUGUUCGUUUUAGUCUGGCCUGGAACGAAAACCAGCCUGGAUUGGAAUCCUUCUACAUUAGAUGGCCCGGAUUGAAACCAUACCUCCUCACCCCUGGAAUGAAUCCUGACCGGAUUGAGUGACAAGGGUGGAAUCACUCAAACCGGACCUGGAAGUAAUCCUAGCUGGAAUCCAAUCCUGGUGAAACGAACGAGGCCUUAGUGAUUUUAGUUCCCUCCUCUCUUCAUAAGCUCAAGUCAGUGCCCUAGUUCGCAUUCUACUCUGCGCUCCACCCCCACAAAUUUUCUAGCCAUUCAAGCAUUUAAUGUACA